rnacentral:rRNA from 1 species
UACGGAGGGUGCAAGCGUUGUUCGGAUUUACUGGGCGUAAAGCGCGCGCAGGUGGGUGAACAAGUCGGAAGUGAAAUCUUGAGGCUCAACCUCGAGGCUGCUCCCGAAACUGUUCGCCUAGGGACUGGUAGAGGCUGGUAGAAUUCCCGGCGUAGCGGUGGAAUGCGUAGAGAUCGGGAAGAAUACCCGUGGCGAAGGCGGCCAGCUGGGCCAGGUCCGACACUGAGGCGCGAAAGCGUGGGGAGCAAACAGG